rnacentral:rRNA from 1 species
UGAGAAUCUGCCUUUUGGUCGGGGACAACCACUGGAAACGGUGGCUAAUACCGGAUAAGCCUGCGGGUAAAAGAUUAAUUGCCAAGAGAGGAGCUCGCGUCUGAUUAGCUAGUUGGUGAGGUAAAGGCUCACCAAGGCGGCGAUCAGUAGCUGGUCUGAGAGGAUGACCAGCCACACUGGGACUGAGACACGGCCCAGACUCCUACGGGAGGCAGCAGUGGGGAAUUUUCCGCAGUGGGCGAAAGCCUGACGGAGCAAGACCGCGUGAGGGAGGAAGGCUCUUGGGUUGUAAACCUCUUUUGUCAGGGAAGAACACAAUGACGGUACCUGAAGAAUCAGCAUCGGCUAACUCCGUGCCAGCAGCCGCGGUAAUACGGAGGAUGCAAGCGUUAUCCGGAAUUAUUGGGCGUAAAGCGUCCGCAGGUGGCACUUCAAGUCUGCUGUCAAAGACCGGGGCUUAACCCUGGAAAGGCAGUGGAAACUGAAGCGCUAGAGUGUGGCAGGGGUAGAGGGAAUUCCCGGUGUAGCGGUGAAAUGCGUAGAGAUCGGGAAGAACAUCGGUGGCGAAAGCGCUCUACUGGGCCACAACUGACACUCAGGGACGAAAGCUAGGGGAGCGAAUGGGAUUAGAUACCCCAGUAGUCCUAGCCGUAAACGAUGGAUACUAG